UUUCAUUUUAGAUAGAAAUAUUUAUUUUGUUACAGAUUUUAAUAAAAUCAAAACAUCAAUAUCACAAUUGUUGUUGAGUGGACCAUGACUUAGAGAGGGCUUCAAUAAAUCUUAUUUUGUAAAAUUACAAAGACCAAAAAAGUCAAGACAAAGUGGUGAGCCCCCACCAAAAAAACGAAACGUUUCGAAUUAUGCUUAAGCUUAAGCUGGUCCUACUCAUACGGACCACGUAGCUCUAACCAUUUGGGGACCACACCCAACCUGGCUGCCUCGGAAGCUAUGCGUAAGGUGGGAGCCGUGUGGCCCCUCUCCUCCUCCCUCCACUCUCUUUUUGGUGCGUGUUGACCCACUUCUGCCUAAAAUCGAGGCCCACUUCUUAACACGUGCACUUCUUCAUGUGCACACGUGCUUUUUUUCCGAUCACUAAUACGCCGCCGUUUCCUUUCUUUUCUUCAGUGGUUCGAUGACCGUGCUGUUGUGGUGCUCAUGAACUGGUGAAGCUCUUGUUUCUCGUAUAUCUCUAGGGAGAAGUCUCUCAGCGUGUGCGUCGUUGUUGUUGCAAUUGACGAUGAACUACCGGUUGUUACGCCUGAGCUUGAGCUCGGAGCCAUAACCGACGUCGCUCUUGAUAAAUUCGAACCGCUAACGUCUGAAACGGAUACAAAGCCGCUGCUUGGAACAACUUGUAAAGGAGGUGGUCUAGCCAUCGUGGAAGCCUGUUGAACAGCGGCGACGUAAGACGACGGCGAAGCAGCGGCGGCGGGAAAAGCUAAUAACUGAGGCUGAUUCGACGGACCAGCGAUUUGUGGAAUCAAGAAGAAAGCUCCGACCGUCGGAAUCAUUGCGUUUGAUGGAAUAGCCCACAUCGGAUACAUUCCUUGCGGCAGAAGUUGCUGAGCCACAGUGGAUGAUGCCAGAGCUUGCGGAGGUUGGAUCGUUGUCGUCGUGGCAAUUGGAGCUAAACCGGAGGAAGCUGAAACGGCGUCGCUUAUGUCUAUAUACUCACUGUUAGAAGGUCGUUUACGUUUCUUCUUCAUCAGAUUUUCACCCAUAUCAGAAUCAGCGUUCGUCGUCGUCGGGAUUUUUAAGGUUCCGUUAACCGACAUGGCGAUGGCGGGAACCGUUCCCGUACCCGUGGCGGCUAUAAUCGCCGGCUCAGCGUUCUCCAACAACCACCGAAUCGUUUCGCCGUCGGAUUUGUGACCUAACUCUCGAGUUAAUUGAAAAAUCCUAGCCGCACACGUGGCAGGCAUCCGUAUCCUUCUCCCUCUUCCUUCAACCUUCGUGUGACGGUCUUUAGUCGAAGCUCUCUUCAAUGGUGGUCCUGUCGAAGACGGUGGAGCUAAAGACAUUGAAAACGACGGCAUCACCGGCUCCGCCUUGGGCUCGAGACUCACUGUGGGAUUUACUUGGAAAGGUCUUGAAGUUUCGACGUUUCUGACGCCGUUGAUGAUGGUUAGAUCAACGGCUCUUAGAGUUUGAUCUUUGCCUGCAACUUCUUCAAGCUUCUGAAUUGUCGCCAUUAAAAUAUAGCUGAGAGAAAACGGACGGUGGAGAUGACGACGAGAGUUGUUAAAAGCGGAUACAAUGGGAAAGAAUCGUUUUAACGGCGUUACACGUCCAAGGAGAUUACUAAAUGUGACUCGUCAGGAUAUAUAUAUAGGAGCAGGAAAACAAGUG